GGGUUGUGAGGUUAAGCGACUAAGCGUACACGGUGGAUGCCCUGGCAGUCAGAGGCGAUGAAGGACGUGCUAAUCUGCGAUAAGCGUCGGUAAGGUGAUAUGAACCGUUAUAACCGGCGAUUUCCGAAUGGGGAAACCCAGUGUGUUUCGACACACUAUCAUUAACUGAAUCCAUAGGUUAAUGAGGCGAACCGGGGGAACUGAAACAUCUAAGUACCCCGAGGAAAAGAAAUCAACCGAGAUUCCCCCAGUAGCGGCGAGCGAACGGGGAGGAGCCCAGAGCCUGAAUCAGUGUGUGUGUUAGUGGAAGCGUCUGGAAAGGCGCGCGAUACAGGGUGACAGCCCCGUACACAAAAAUGCACAUGCUGUGAGCUCGAUGAGUAGGGCGGGACACGUGGUAUCCUGUCUGAAUAUGGGGGGACCAUCCUCCAAGGCUAAAUACUCCUGACUGACCGAUAGUGAACCAGUACCGUGAGGGAAAGGCGAAAAGAACCCCGGCGAGGGGAGUGAAAAAGAACCUGAAACCGUGUACGUACAAGCAGUGGGAGCAUGCUUAGGCGUGUGACUGCGUACCUUUUGUAUAAUGGGUCAGCGACUUAUAUUCUGUAGCAAGGUUAACCGAAUAGGGGAGCCGAAGGGAAACCGAGUCUUAACUGGGCGUUAAGUUGCAGGGUAUAGACCCGAAACCCGGUGAUCUAGCUAUGGGCAGGUUGAAGGUUGGGUAACACUAACUGGAGGACCGAACCGACUAAUGUUGAAAAAUUAGCGGAUGACUUGUGGCUGGGGGUGAAAGGCCAAUCAAACCGGGAGAUAGCUGGUUCUCCCCGAAAGCUAUUUAGGUAGCGCCUCGUGAACUCAUCUCCGGGGGUAGAGCACUGUUUCGGCAAGGGGGUCAUCCCGACUUACCAACCCGAUGCAAACUGCGAAUACCGGAGAAUGUUAUCACGGGAGACACACGGCGGGUGCUAACGUCCGUCGUGAAGAGGGAAACAACCCAGACCGCCAGCUAAGGUCCCAAAGUCAUGGUUAAGUGGGAAACGAUGUGGGAAGGCCCAGACAGCCAGGAUGUUGGCUUAGAAGCAGCCAUCAUUUAAAGAAAGCGUAAUAGCUCACUGGUCGAGUCGGCCUGCGCGGAAGAUGUAACGGGGCUAAACCAUGCACCGAAGCUGCGGCAGCGACGCUUAUGCGUUGUUGGGUAGGGGAGCGUUCUGUAAGCCUGUGAAGGUGUACUGUGAGG
rnacentral:rRNA from 1 species